CCAGAGAAAACUAAAAACUAAUGAUAUAUCUAUUCAUCCAUAUGCUCCUCUAUUGCAAUUUGGACAUUCUCAUAAUCAACAUUAAAAGUUGUCCAAAUUCUUGUUGUUGGUAUGAAUUAUUCUCGUAUAUUUCCUCUUCAUUAAUCUCUUCCAUGUCAAACAAAUCCCUUGGUUUUAGAUGUACAACCACACUCCAUUCUUUAUCAUUUUCAUCAUCAACAUAGUAGACCAUAUUAGCUUGUGAUGCUUCAAUAUACGGAUCAUCA
rnacentral:lncRNA from 1 species